rnacentral:piRNA from 1 species
UGAAAAGAACUUGAUCGGAUUGCAUGUG